rnacentral:misc_RNA from 1 species
GAUGAAGAACGCAGCGAAAUGCGAUACGUAAUGUGAAUUGCAGAAUUCAGUGAAUCAUCGAGUCUUUGAACGCACAUUGCGCCCCCUGGUAUUCCGGGGGGCGUGCCUGUCCGAGCGUCAUUGCUGCCCUCAAGCACGGCUUGUGUGUUGGGCCUCCGUCCUCCUCCCGGGGGACGGGCCCGAAAGGCAGCGGCGGCACCGCGUCCGGUCCUCGAGCGUAUGGGGCUUCGUCACCCGCUCUUGUAGGCCUGGCCGGCGCUUGCCGACACAUCAAUCUUUUUUCCAGGUUGACCUCGGAUCAGGUAGGGAUACCCGCUGAACUUAAGCAUAUCAAUAAGCGGAGGA